rnacentral:rRNA from 1 species
GGGUAAACGCUGGCGGCGUGCCUAAAACAUGCAAGUCGAACGAGUACCUUCGGGUGCUAGUGGCAGACGGCUGAGUAACGCGCGGGUGACGUACCUGACAGUGGGGAAUAACUGCCCGAAAGGGUGGCUAAUUCCGCAUUCGUCCACUGGUUCGUUUCAGUGGAGAAAGCUUCGCAAGAGGCGCUGACGGAGCGGCCCGCGUUCGAUUAGCUGGUUGGUGGGGUAACGGCCUACCAAGGCGACGAUCGAUAGCUGGUCUCAGAGGAUGAUCAGCCAGACUGGGACUGAGACACGGCCCAGACUCCUACGGGAGGCAGCAGUUAGGAAUUUUGGGCAAUGGGCGAAAGCCUGACCCAGCAAUGCCGCGUGAGUGAUGAAGGCCUUAGGGUUGUAAAGCUCUUUACCCGGGAAGAUAAUGACUGUACCGGGAGAAUAAG